rnacentral:rRNA from 1 species
UACGAGUGCCCCAAGCGUUAUCCGGAAUUAUUGGGCGUAAAGGGUGUGUAGGUGGUCUUGUUAGUCUUCUGUGAAAUUCUUCGGCUUAACCGGGGGUCCGCAGGGGAAACGGCAGGACUAGAGGAUGCGAGAGGUGUGCGGAACUCAUGGUGUAGGGGUGAAAUCCGUUGAUAUCAUGGGGAACACCGAAAGCGAAGGCAGCGCACUGGCGCACUCCUGACACUGAAACACGAAAGCGUGGGUAGCGAAUGGG